rnacentral:rRNA from 1 species
GAUACCCUAUUAUUUUAAACGUAAAUUUAAAAACUAAAAUAAUAUAAGUUAAGUUCUUUAAAAUUAAAAAUUUUGGCGGUAUUUUAGUCUAUUCAGAGGAACCUGUUUUUUAAUUGAUAGUCCACGAUAGUCUCUACUUUAACUUUAAAUUUGUAUAUCGUCGUUUAUAAAGAUUUUAAUAGAAUUUUAAUUUUUAAUAUAUUAUAUUUAAUAUUAAUUCAGAUCAAGGUGUAGUUUAUGUUAAAGAAAGAAUGGGUUACAUUAAAUUUAUUUUUGGUUUUUGAUUUUAAAAAUUUAAAUAAAUUGGAUUUGAAUGUAAUUAUUAAGCUUUUAUAUAAUGAUUUAGCUCUAAAAUAUGCACACAUCGCC